rnacentral:rRNA from 1 species
UAACCCUACGGGACGCAGCAGUGGGGAAUAUUGGGCAAUGGGCGCAAGCCUGACCCAGCAACGCCGCGUGAAGGAAGAAGGCUUUCGGGUUGUAAACUUCUUUUAUCAGGGACGAAACAAAUGACGGUACCUGACGAAUAAGCCACGGCUAACUACGUGCCAGCAGCCGCGGUAAUACGUAGGUGGCAAGCGUUAUCCGGAUUUACUGGGUGUAAAGUGCGUGUAGGCGAGACUGCAAGUCAGAUGUGAAACCCAUGGGCUCAACCCACGGCCUGCAUUUGAAACUGUAGUUCUUGAGUGAUGGG